AGCGAACGCUGGCGGCAGGCCUAACACAUGCAAGUCGAACGAACCCUUCGGGGUUAGUGGCGGACGGGUGAGUAACACGUGGGAACGUGCCUUUAGGUUCGGAAUAACUCAGGGAAACUUGUGCUAAUACCGAAUGUGCCCUUCGGGGGAAAGAUUUAUCGCCUUUAGAGCGGCCCGCGUCUGAUUAGCUAGUUGGUGAGGUAAUGGCUCACCAAGGCUACGAUCAGUAGCUGGUCUGAGAGGAUGACCAGCCACAUUGGGACUGAGACACGGCCCAAACUCCUACGGGAGGCAGCAGUGGGGAAUCUUGCGCAAUGGGCGAAAGCCUGACGCAGCCAUGCCACGUGGAUGAUGAAGGUCUUAGGAUUGUAAAAUCCUUUCGCCGGUGAAGAUAAUGACUGUAGCCGGAGAAGAAGCCCCGGCUAACUUCGUGCCAGCAGCCGCCGUAACAC
rnacentral:rRNA from 1 species